rnacentral:rRNA from 1 species
UGAACGCUGGCGGCGUGCCUAAUACAUGCAAGUCGAACGAUGAAGCUCUAGCUUGCUAGAGUGGAUUAGUGGCGCACGGGUGAGUAAUGCAUAGAUAACAUGCCCUUUAGUCUAGGAUAGCCAUUGGAAACGAUGAUUAAUACUGGAUACUCCUUACGAGGGAAAGUUUUUCGCUAAAGGAUUGGUCUAUGUCCUAUCAGCUUGUUGGUGAGGUAAUGGCUCACCAAGGCUAUGACGGGUAUCCGGCCUGAGAGGGUGAACGGACACACUGGAACUGAGACACGGUCCAGACUCCUACGGGAGGCAGCAGUAGGGAAUAUUGCUCAAUGGGGGAAACCCUGAAGCAGCAACGCCGCGUGGAGGAUGAAGGUUUUAGGAUUGUAAACUCCUUUUGUGAGAGAAGAUUAUGACGGUAUCUCACGAAUAAGCACCGGCUAACUCCGUGCCAGCAGCCGCGGUAAUACGGAGGGUGCAAGCGUUACUCGGAAUCACUGGGCGUAAAGAGUGCGCAGGCGGGUAGUCAAGUCAGAUGUGAAAUCCUAUGGCUUAACCAUAGAACUGCAUUUGAAACUGUUAUUCUAGAGUAUGGGAGAGGUAGGUGGAAUUCUUGGUGUAGGGGUAAAAUCCGUAGAGAUCAAGAGGAAUACUCAUUGCGAAGGCGACCUGCUAGAACAUAACUGACGCUCAUGCACGAAAGCGUGGGGAGCAAACAGGAUUAGAUACCCUGGUAGUCCACGCCCUAAACGAUGAAUGCUAGUUGUUGCCCUGCUUGACAGGGCAGUAAUGCAGCUAACGCAUUAAGCAUUCCGCCUGGGGAGUACGGUCGCAAGAUUAAAACUCAAAGGAGUAGACGGGGACCCGCACAAGCGGUGGAGCAUGUGGUUUAAUUCGAAGAUACACGAAGAACCUUACCUAGGCUUGACAUUGAUAGAAUCCGCUAGAGAUAGUGGAGUGCUAGCUUGCUAGAACUUGAAAACAGGUGCUGCACGGCUGUCGUCAGCUCGUGUCGUGAGAUGUUGGGUUAAGUCCCGCAACGAGCGCAACCCUCGUCCUUAGUUGCUAACUAUUCGGUAGAGCACUCUAAGGAGACUGCCUUCGCAAGGAGGAGGAAGGUGAGGAUGACGUCAAGUCAUCAUGGCCCUUACGCCUAGGGCUACACACGUGCUACAAUGGGAAGCACAAAGAGAUGCAAUAUUGUGAAAUGGAGCAAAUCUAUAAAACUUCUCUCAGUUCGGAUUGUAGUCUGCAACUCGACUACAUGAAGCUGGAAUCGCUAGUAAUCGUAAAUCAGCUAUGUUACGGUGAAUACGUUCCCGGGUCUUGUACUCACCGCCCGUCACACCAUGGGAGUUGUAUUCGCCUUAAGUCGGAAUGCCAAACUGGCUACCGCCCACGGCGG